rnacentral:rRNA from 1 species
AAUCUGGCGCCUUCGGUGUCCGAGUUGUAAUUUGAAGAAGGUAACUUUGGAGUUGGCUCUUGUCUAUGUUCCUUGGAACCGGACGUCACAGAGGGUGAGAAUCCCGUGCGAUGAGAUGCCCAAUUCUAUGUAAAGUGCUUUCGAAGAGUCGAGUUGUUUGGGAAUGCAGCUCUAAGUGGGUGGUAAAUUCCAUCUAAAGCUAAAUAUUGGCGAGAGACCGAUAGCGAACAAGUACAGUGAUGGAAAGAUGAAAAGAACUUUGAAAAGAGAGUGAAAAAGUACGUGAAAUUGUUGAAAGGGAAGGGCUUGAGAUCAGACUUGGUAUUUUGCGAUCCUUUCCUUCUUGGUUGGGUUCUCCGCAGCUUACUGGGCCAGCAUCGGUUUGGAUGGUAGGAUAAUGAUUAAGGAAUGUGGCUCUACUUCGGUGGAGUGUUAUAGCCUUGGUUGAUACUGCCUGUCUAGACCGAGGACUGCGUCUUUGACUAGGAUGCUGGCAUAAUGAUCUUAAGCCACC